AUGUCCUGGCUGGACAGCCGGACCUCAAUUCCCCUGGGACCCAGAAAUUUGAGUGCCCAGAGACUUUCUAAGGGAAUAACCCCCCUCUGCCCCACCUCCCGUGUGCCCAGGGCUGAGGGAGAGGAGGGUGAAGGGUGCUGUAACUCCAGCAUGGACCGAAUUCCCUGCCAGGCUCCCAAAUUACCUUCACAGGCCCUCGGAUCUCCACCAGAGCCACGUCGCUGCCAGCGUCUUCCCUCUCGGGCACCUCCGGGGCUUCGUAGAGAUCCAGGGGGUUUGGGGAGGAGCCCCCAGCCCCUGGGUUGGGCGUCUCCAGCUCCCCAGGGCUGGAGGGGGCUCUCCCUCCUCCCCAGGGCACGGGGAGGAUCCAGGGGCUCCUCCAGGUGGGCUCAUCCCCCUCCUGCCCCUCGGUGCUGCCCGAAGCCGCGGCUCCUCCGCUGCCAGCGCCGCUCCCAGGGCUCGGGAGGAGCCUCUUGGUGUCCUGGGGCUGCUCCACGGGACCGGCAGAGCCCUCCAGGGGGGACGUGGGCGAUGUCAGAGCCCCUGGGUGCUUCUGGCGGCUCUCAGGUGACCUCUGCCCGUCCCCUGUCACCACAUCCUCCGUGCACUGCACAGGCAGCGACACCGGGAUGUCUUUGGGAGAGAGCGAGGCAGAGCUGUCAUUCCUGGCAAUUCCAGGGGUUUGGGGGGUUUUUUUUGCCUUCCAUUGCUCCAUUUUCCUGCUGGGCUUGGGGAACCCCUGGGCUGGCAGAGCUCACCUGUCCCCUCUGGAGUGUGGGCCAGCAGAGGAAGGACACUGAGGACAAGCAGGGAGGGCUGGAGGAGCUCCCUCAGGAGCCUGGGCCAUCCCUGUGUCCCCAGACCCCAGGUGCAUCCCAGGAAAGGCUUUGUUUAAGUCCUGGAAGGACACAGGUGGAAAGGAGGGAGCCCCAGGGCAGGGAGGCUGCAGUUUCCCAGCACAGCUUUGUCCAAACCAAUCCCUCCUGGCCACAAAAUUGUCAUUUCAGGGUUGGGAAAAUGGUGCCAGACCCCGUGGGAGUGAUGUGA
rnacentral:lncRNA from 1 species